AAGAAUUAUUUUAUUAUGUUUUUUAUUUUAUUAUUUUUAAUAAAAAUAUUUUUUAUUUUAGUAUUUUUGAAUAAAUAUUUUUUAAUUAUAGUUAAUUUUACUGUGAAGGAUUAUUUUUAUUUUAUAAAAAAGUAUUUUUUGUUUGAAGUACCUUUUGCAUCAGGGUUUAUUAAAUUAUUAAAAUAAUCUUUUUUUCUCGAAAUUUUAAGAUUUAAGAUUAAAUGUUAGUUUUUGUUACAAAAUAAUUUAUAAUUUUUUCUUAGAGGUUAUAUGCUUUUCAUUUAAAAUAAUAUCUAGUUUACUAAUAUUUGAAUUUAAUUCAUUUUUAAUAUUGCUUUAUUUUAAUUAUAUUAUUUAAAGUUUAUUAAUUAAAGAUUUAUGGGGAUAAGCUCAUAUUUUUUAUUAAAAGUUUUUGUUUUAUUAAAUUCUUUGUAGGAUUAAUAAUUUCCAUCAUUAUUUUGUUAUAAUUAUUUUUUUAUUUUAAUGAUUUUUUAUUAUUUUAAUUUUUUAUUAGUUUUUUUAUUAUAAUUUUAUAUAUUUAUUAAUAAUGAUAUAAUUAGUAAUUUUUAUAAUUUGAGAAUAGUAAUUCGGCAAAUUUUAUUUUCACCUGUUUAACAAAAACAUGUUCUUUUGAUUUUAAUUUAAGAUCAGGCCUGCCCAUUGAUUUUUUUGAAUUAAAAGGCUGCGGUAUUUUAACUGUACGAAGGUAGCAUAAUCAUUUGUCUUUUAAUUGAAGGCUAGUAUGAAUGGUUUGAUGAAAAAUAAACUUUCUUUUUUCAAUUGUUUUGAAUUUAAUUUUUUAGUUAAAAAGCUAGAAUUUAUUUAUAGGACGAGAAGACCCUAUAGAAGUUAACUUUAUUUAUUAAUUUUUAUUUUUUGUUAAUUAAAUAAUUUUUUAGAAUAUAAAGUUUUGUUGGGGUGACAUUGAAAUUUAUUUAACUUUUAAUAUUUUUUUCAUUAAUUUAUGUUUUUUUGAUCCAAAAUUUUUGAUUAUAAGAUUAACUUACCUUAGGGAUAACAGCGUAAUUUUUUCGGAGAGUUCAUAUCGAUGAAAAAGUUUGCGACCUCGAUGUUGAAUUAAGAUAAGAUUUGGGUGUAAAAUUUCAAUUUUCUUGGUCUGUUCGACCA
rnacentral:rRNA from 1 species